rnacentral:lncRNA from 8 species
GACAUGCGUGUGCCUGGCACAGUAUCCAUACAAAGAAUGAAAAUGUAUGACUAUCAGUCAGGAGUACAAGCUGGAACAAGGAAGAUACUGUACAGUAGGAGUUACUCCCUGUCACGAGCCUAGAUCCUGCCAUACUGGAUUGUGAAAAGGGAAGAACUGGUUCAACACUUACAUACAGAACAUUUUUUACAUUUUAGUCAUUUAGCAGACGCUCUUAUCCAGAGCGACUUACAGUAGUGAAUGCAUACAUUUUUUGUUGUUGUUGCUUUUUUCCGUACUAGCACUCCUUUCAACUUGUUGUCAUGCUAAACAUGACAACUUAAACAGAAGCAGCGGCAUCCAGGUUAUUCAGUAAUACAAAAGACAGGUCAGCAUGAUGUACUUCUGUUUCCUUGCCUAAUAUUUCCUGGUUCGACCCCGUAGGAAUCUAACCUGGAUGCCGCUGCUUCUGUUUUAGUUGUCAUGUUUAGCAUGACAACAAGUUGAAAGGAGUGCUACAACGGAAUCACUGGCACCCUGGUAAGUGUUACAAUCAACAUGUCUGAUAAUAUCAGGUACAAAAUAAUGACCCGAAGGGAUUGACAGGAAAAGGAUACAGUAUUAUGUAAUAUAGGAUGCCGCCAGAGAAAUAGACUCCAUGUCUCAUUGUACAGUAGUACAGAACCGUACAGAGAGGGUUCAAAAUGUGCAUAUUUUGAUAGCGAUUCAAAACCUUCGGUAAACUAAACGGCAUAGAGUCAAGAGAGUUAAGAGACGGAAGAGCAGCUACUGCUGUGGACACAUUCUCUUCAUUGUAAAAUCUAAAUAGCUCUGCAGAUGUGAUGGAAACAUGGCAUAUCCUGGUCUGGCGUAUUUGUCUGAUCCUGGCCCUCUUGCCGCACCUGCACCAGUGCCUGUCAGUGCAUUUCCAGAACAAGGGUCUCCUUUAUGUGGCUCUGGGGAGAGACCUGGUCCUGCAGACCCAGUUCCAGAUUACACCAACCGAGAAGAUCGUCAUGGUGAUUUGGGACUACGAGACUGAGAAGGGUCAGGGACAGGUCAGGCUGGCCAAUCACCAAACUGCACUUGGCAAUCCUUUAGACCAGAAGGGGGCCUUAUUUAGGGUGGAGAAUAUAAAUUCAUCUAACUAUGGAGUCUACAUCAUCACUGUGACUGACCAGAUGGGGAAUGAGGAAUCAGCAAAGAUACUUGUUAGAGAGAGUGUUGCUGCUCCUGUGGCGUCUCUGUCCCUCCAGUGUGAGGUGGCCAAUGACAGGGCACAGUGGGACAGCCCAGUGGUUUCCUGGUUGGUGGAUGGGAUAGAGGUCUCCAAUCAGACAGCCAAUCUCUCUGCAGAUGGCAGGAACCUCUACGUCUCUGGAAUGAAGGGCCACAACUACACCUGUGUGGUCAACAGCAGUCUGGGGACUAGUGUUACAAACUACAUCACUGAUUCUCCUACACCAUCCCAAAGUAAGCAAUCCUGUGAGACCUGGUGUGUUGUAAUAUUGGCCACCAUAUUGGCCACCGUCGUCAUCAUCAUCCUAGUGAUUCUAACAAAAUGUGGAUGUCUCUCCUGGAGAUGCAAACAGCGGAGGACGAACGGGAUUAUAUGA